rnacentral:rRNA from 1 species
UACAGAGGGUGCGAGCGUUAAUCGGAAUUACUGGGCGUAAAGCGCGCGUAGGCGGCUUUGCAAGCCGGAUGUGAAAUCCCCGGGCUUAACCUGGGAACUGCAUUCGGGACUGCAUUGCUAGAGUAUGGGAGAGGGAAGUGGAAUUUCAGGUGUAGCGGUGAAAUGCGUAGAUAUCUGAAGGAACAUCAGUGGCGAAAGCGACUUCCUGGACCAAUACUGACACUCAUGUGCGAAAGCGUGGGGAGCAAACAGG